CAAUAGCGUAUAUUAAAGUUGUUGCGGUUAAAAAGCUCGUAGUUGGAUUUCUGGUACAACGCGCCUGGCCCGCUUUGUUGAGUGCCGGUGCGCGUUUGCCAUCCUUCUAGAAAACGUUUCAUACCCGGGUAACUGGGCUGGACUCGCGAUCUAGAUCUUUUUUACUUUGAAAAAUUAGAGUGUUUAAAGCAGGCUUUUGCUGUGAAUACAUUAGCAUGGAAUAAUAAUCUAGGACUUCGGUUCUAUUUUGUUGGUUUCUAGUACUGAAGUAAUGAUUGAUAGGGAUAGUUGGGGGUGCUAGUAUUGACCGGCCAGAGGUGAAAUUCUUGGAUUCGGUCAAGACUAACUUAUGCGAAAGCAUUC
rnacentral:rRNA from 1 species